CCUACGGGAGGCAGCAGUGGGGAAUAUUGCACAAUGGGGGGAACCCUGAUGCAGCGACGCCGCGUGGGUGAAGGAGCACCUCGGUGCGUAAAGCCCUAUCGGCAGGGAAGAAAAGCGAACAGGUUCGCCUGGACGGUACCUGACUAAGAAGCCACGGCUAACUACGUGCCAGCAGCCGCGGUAAUACGUAGGGGGCAAGCGUUCUCCGGAUUCAGUGGGUGUAAAGGGAGCGUAGACGGCGGCGCAAGUCUGGAGUGAAAGCCCGGGGCCCAACCCCGGGACUGCUCUGGAAACUGCGGCGCUGGAGUACGGGAGGGGCAGGCGGAAUUCGUGGUGUAGCGGUGAAAUGCGUAGAUAUCAGGAGGAACACCGGCGGCGAAGGCGGCCUGCUGGACCGUGACUGACGUUGAGGCUCGAGAGCGUGGGGAGCAAACAGGAUUAGAUACCCCUGUAGUC
rnacentral:rRNA from 1 species